rnacentral:rRNA from 1 species
UACGGAGGGGGCUAGCGUUGUUCGGAAUUACUGGGCGUAAAGCGCACGUAGGCGGCUUUGUAAGUUAGAGGUGAAAGCCCGGGGCUCAACUCCGGAAUUGCCUUUAAGACUGCAUCGCUAGAAUUGUGGAGAGGUAAGUGGAAUUCCGAGUGUAGAGGUGAAAUUCGUAGAUAUUCGGAAGAACACCAGUGGCGAAGGCGACUUACUGGACACAUAUUUGACGCUGAGGUGCGAAAGCGUGGGGAGCGAACAGG